CGCCGAUAUUCCGAAAAAGUGUCUGCCCUAUCAACCUGAUGGUAGUCUAUUAGUCUACCAUGGUUAUUACGGGUAACGGAGAAUAAGGGUUCGACUCCGGAGAGGGAGCCUUAGAAACGGCUACCACAUCCAAGGAAGGCAGCAGGCGCGAAACUUAUCCAAUCUUGAAUAGAUGAGAUAGUGACUAAAAAUAAAAAGACCAUUCCUAUGGAACGGUCAUUUCAAUGAGUUGAUCAUAAACGUUUUUUCGAGUAUCAAGUGGAGGGCAAGUCUGGUGCCAGCAGCCGCGGUAAUUCCAGCUCCACUAGUGUAAAUCGUCAUUGCUGCGGUUAAAAAGCUCGUAGUUGGAUCUGAGUCGCAUGCAAUGAUUCGCCUUUGGCGUUAAUCAUUGUUGUGACUAUUUGCUGGUUUUCUAUUGAAAUUUCGAUUUCUUUAGUGGCUAGCGAGUUUACUUUGAAUAAAUUAGAGUGCUCAGAACAAGCGUUUGCUUGAAUGGUCGAUCAUGGAAUAAUAAAAGAGGACUUCGGUUCUAUUUAUUGGUUCAGGAACUGAAAUAAUGGUUAAGAGGGACAAUUCGGGGGCAUUCGUAUCCCUGCGCGAGAGGUGAAAUUCGUGGACCGCAGGGGGACGCCCUAAAGCGAAAGCAUUUGCCAAGAAUGUCUUCAUUAAUCAAGAACGAAAGUCAGAGGUUCGAAGGCGAUUAGAUACCGCCCUAGUUCUGACCGUAAACUAUGCCAUCUAGCGAUCCGAUGGGGUAUUGUUGCCUUGUCGAGGAGCUUCCCGGAAACGAAAGUCUUUCGGUUCCUGGGGUAGUAUGG
rnacentral:rRNA from 1 species